GUUCUCUCUUCUCUCCCACUGCAACACACGCAAGCAGCGCUGCUCUCUGGGCGACUGGUGCUCGCUCGAUAUCCGCAACGCUCUCACGCGCGCAGCGCUGCUGCGGCUCUCUUCUGGCUCGCGGUGCACACGCUGCUAACUCGCGACGCAACAUCCAGGACCCUACACGAAAGAAUGCCACGAUCCCACACAUCCCUCAUGCAUGCGUUCGUACGGAGAGCUACGUGAUUUGAUUGAUAAAAGUGAACCGUCUUCGACUACCAAAAGGCAAGUGACACACCCUCACAAAUGUCCUAGAUUUUAUUUAUGCACCGUAGUGAUUUUUUUUGUAAGUCUAGGGUAUGCUUUUCUUUUGUAAUCCUAGUAGAUAGCUACUUCCACCUUACUAUAUUUUGUCGCCACUGAAUUUAGUUGAUGCUCAUCUAUGCUAUGAAAAUGUUUUAGUAGUGGUUAUGGAAAAACAACUAAAUUCAAUGAACUACUUGGGUGGAAUGUGGCUUGGAUUGGGUUAUGUUGAUUGGUUACUCUGGGGACAUGUCGUCGAACCUCUGAACCCCAGGUGUAUCACACUUGUGGACGGCAACCCAGGAACAAAGAGAUAAUAGACAACCUUGCUCAUUAGCUUACCGUACAACCACAUGCUAUAUGGGCUCUGGCUUGACAGAGUAUGUUGUGAGAACCCGGAUCCUACGUGACAGAUGAUGUAGGGGAUUGUAGGUUGGUACGGGUCCGUAGAGAAAGGUCUGGGGGAUUACUUCGGAAAAGUCUCGUCCUAGUCAACAUCUGUCCAUUUGAGCAAAAUGUGCAUCAUGGAAGAAGAGCAGACUAGGUCAUGUGAGUAAAUUGUACAACCUCUGCAGAGUGUAAACCUAAGUACUUAGCCGUGUCCCCGGUUACGGACAAUUUGAGCGAACUGACAAGGCACAUGUUCGAAAGUCUCCUCGUCCCAACUUCUUAAAUAAAACUUGAUGGGUGAACAGGGUUAUGACAAUUGGUGUAAGUGACUAUCGGCUAGUAGGUCCCGUGCCAUGUCUAUGGUCUGAGUCUACAGGGGUAGUUCGCCCAAACCAAGUUGAUCAUGGGUAGGAGGAUUCACCGGGGAUUUACCGGUGGUUUCCAGGUUCAUUGAUUUCUAUCAAUGGUACCGCUUAAUUAGUAUGAAAGAAAAUGAUUUCACAAAUCAUAGGAGAAAACUGGCUUUAUGCAAAUAUGCCUGAGCUCUACCAGCCAAAUGUACACUUAAGUGUUAGGUUGCCAUUUGAGUCCACUAUAGUGUCAUCUUGCCAAUACAUUCAAAGUACUGACCAUUCGUGGCUGUAACUUUUCAUGUUGCAGAUGUUUUGAAAGACGAGCGAGUUACGAUGGUUAGGGUUACGAGUCUAUCCUCAACAUGCUCGCCUGUGGCACAUGAAGACGAAGGACUCCAUGCUGUCUAUGUUUUUUUUGGUUGUGAAACUCUGAUGAUAUGCUAGCCUCGUGCUAUGCAAUUUGUAAUCCUUUAUGUAAAUUCUGGAUCAUACGAUGUAAUAAAGACCCUUGUUUCUUUGUAUUA